UACGAAGGGUGCAAGCGUUACUCGGAAUUACUGGGCGUAAAGCGUGCGUAGGUGGUUUGUUAAGUCUGAUGUGAAAGCCCUGGGCUCAACCUGGGGAUUGCAUUGGAUACUGGCAGGCUAGAGUGCGGUAGAGGAUGGCGGAAUUCCCGGUGUAGCAGUGAAAUGCGUAGAGAUCGGGAGGAACAUCUGUGGCGAAGGCGGCCAUCUGGACCAGCACUGACACUGAGGCACGAAAGCGUGGGGAGCAAACAGG
rnacentral:rRNA from 1 species